CACAAACCGCAUCGUUUCAUUAAACAUAAUCGUAUUGGGCUUCGAUGUUAUUGGGUUGUGGGUUUGAAAGCAUUCCUAACCCUAAUUCUAAUGAAAUGAGGAGAUGGAGAUCGAUGGCGGUGACGCCUGAGCUUUUCCAUACGCCAUCUUCCAUCUAAACACACACUUCAUUCUUAUUCAGACCCAGAAUCUGAAACUGAGGCUGCUUCUUAUUCUUCGAUUACUUGCCACUUUAAGGUCCUUUUGUAACUCAUGAUUUAAUUGAGUGUGCGGCAUGUCACGAAAGUGAAUGAGCAAGCAGUGGAGAGAGACAGAUCAAUCCAAAUUCGAGAGCAGAAUUUACGAAAAUCUUAUAGGAGUUCAAAUUAUGGCUUAGUAGCCUCACAGAAGAUAAAAAGCAUGCCGCAACAGUUUUUUUGUACUAUAAAAAGACGAAGUGAACUCCUAUAAGAUGCUUCUCAAUCUGAUCAUCUCGCCAACAUCACAAAGCUUGAUGAUACUUGGUCACUUCACUGAGUUUUAGAAGCUGCUGCACAGAAAAGCUGAAGCAUUCCUUUCAAAUGACUACUAUGAGUCACACCUUGCAUGGAUGGACUUGGCUUCAUUUGAAGCUUUCAUCGAGAUGAUAAAGCCACAGCUGAUCUGAAACUCUUUUGGUGACAAUCUAAAGGUACAUUCCCCUCUUUUUGCUGCUUUGAUCAAUAAGUGUUCCAAUUACUUACAUUUUCCAUUUUCUCUAAGAUCAUUUUUGAUUUUCACUUUCCAAUAGUUAUUGGAAAACAAUCUCCCGCUUGACAGUGUAUACAAAUCAAAAGAUGUGCUGUUACUCCUAUUCGUGUCUUUCAGUGACAAGAACUGGUCGUUGGUCGGAUUUCACUGAGAAUAAACAAAGAUUUGAGAGCAGAAGUUCAAACUGAAGAUUAGCAGCUGCGUAAGAGCCAUGGGAGUCUUCAGAACACUGGUGGAAAAGGUUACCAUCUCACUCUAUCAUUCUUGAUUAAAAAUAAUUUCUUGAAUGGAAGAGGAGAAGAAGCUGUCAUCGUUGGUAAUGUUUAGGUAGAUUUGGCCGUAUGUUUCAUUUAUUUUUUACUACAGGAUAGAUCAAUAUAUAUUCAUGACUUAAUUAAGAUGAACUUGAGUACUGCGAACUUGAGGACGCAUGCAUAGCUGCAUAUCCAUGUUUUUAGCCAGAUAGUUCAGCUUUAAACCUUUCUGGAACUUGGUCGUUUUAAUGUUUUAGUCACUACACCAAUAUCGCUCUUUCGUAUACAUUAACGUAAGAACAUCGUUAAUUUCUAAUUGGUUUGGCAUUACAGAACACACGACAUAAUAUAUUAAAGAUAUGAGUUUACACACAAAACACUAAAAGAGAUUGAAAAUAUAAAGUUUGAGAACACCGAGAAGCCGUAAAAUGAAAAAGAAGAGAAAAACAUUAGUAGAUGGAGUAAGCUUCUUACAA